UUAAGUUCAGCGGGUAGCUUGCCUGAUUUGAGAUCAUGAGGGGGGUUGUAAUUGCCACUAAUUCUCGAGCGAGGAUGUCCUGACAAUACACUAUUAUUCACGGCGAUCACUGCUGAAUGCCCAGGUCGACUAAAAUAGUCAAGUGUAUAUGAUUCUCAAACAGGCAUACCCUCGGCAGGGCCGGGAGGUGCCAUAUGCGU
rnacentral:misc_RNA from 1 species